AUAUAUCUCAACCCGCACCCGUGAAAGGGUGUUGGGCUUGGACUUGGGAGUUACAGGCUCUGCUAUUGUGGUAGUCUGCUCUCCUGAAAUACAUGGAGCGGUAAUGAAAGGCCCCCCCCCCCCUGCUUCAAAGGUGUGAUACAUCUAUCUGCAUCUGGGACUGGGGAGGGUUUGCCGCCAAUUUGGAGGGCUUGCUGUUGAUAA
rnacentral:misc_RNA from 1 species